rnacentral:lncRNA from 1 species
CAAUGUGAAGUAGGAUGGUUUCAGUUUGCCGAGAGCUAGUCCCUAACUGAAUUUUCAGAGGCUUGUAAUGUGAGAAAAUAUUCUACGUGGAACAUAAUGUUAAGAGAUGCUGCUUUGUAGUCUUCAACUUCCUUAUGGUGGAAGAAGAAGCAGGAAUUGUGAAAUCUAAUGCUUGGUGGCCUCAGCCCAGCGCUAUUGGAAAUCAUCAUGACUCUUUCCAUUGACUUUAUUGGGCAAUGGCUCUGGUUACCAUGAAUUAUUUGAGACGUGGCAACACUGAUGGUUUACAAAUACUUCCUUUUUCCUACUUGAGAGGAGAAAAGGGAAUGCAGGAUGCCCUGAAUCAUCUAGUCCUAUCCACCCUACAGACCAGCACAUAUCAAGACAUCUCCACAUACACAGGAGAAGAACAGAAGUUACGUGCAAUUUCACAAAGUAAAAACUGCUCACGAUCUGGAGAGGCAUGGAAGAUAAGUCUCGUUCUGUCACUCAAAUCACAGGGCUGA